GAUAUUAAACCAACCCUACAAAAUCCUCCACCACCAAAAUCACCUAAAAAGCCUCUCCUCGCACUCACCGCGCCGCCGCCGCCGCCAACCACCGAAGAUGACGGCGCUUCCCCGAAAAGGAGACUUCCAAGAAAAAGCUUUUCCUUUCAUACCCUUGAAGAACUUGAAUCCAAAAUUUCUAAAGAUUCUAAAAAAACCAAUGGGUUGAAGAAAACAGAGUCGAUGCCUACUUAUG
rnacentral:lncRNA from 1 species